rnacentral:rRNA from 1 species
GACACGGCCCAGACUCCUACGGGAGGCAGCAGUGGGGAAUUUUCCGCAAUGGGCGAAAGCCUGACGGAGCAACGCCGCGUGCGGGAGGAAGGCCUUAGGGUUGUAAACCGCUUUUAUCAGGGAAGAACACAAUGACGGUACCUGAUGAAUAAGCCUCGGCUAAUUCCGUGCCAGCAGCCGCGGUAAUACGGGAGAGGCGAGCGUUAUCCGGAAUUAUUGGGCGUAAAGCGUCCGCAGGUGGCCAAUUAAGUCUGUCGUUAAAUCGUGGAGCUCAACUCCAUACAAGCGAUGGAAACUGAUUGGCCAGAGUACGGUAGGGGUAGCGGGAAUUCCAGGUGUAGCGGUGAAAUGCGUAGAUAUCUGGAAGAACACCAGCGACGAAAGUGCGCUACUGGGCCUGUACUGACACUCAUGGACGAAAGCCAGGGGAGCGAAAGGGAUUAGAUACCCCUGUAGUCCUGGCCGUAAACGAUGAACACUAGGUGUUGCGCGAAUCGACCCGUGCAGUGCCGUAGCCAACGCGUUAAGUGUUCCGCCUGGGGAGUACGCACGCAAGUGUGAAACUCAAAGGAAUUGACGGGGGCCCGCACAAGCGGUGGAGUAUGUGGUUUAAUUCGAUGCAACGCGAAGAACCUUACCAAGGCUUGACAUCCCCCGAAUCUCUGGGAAACCGGAGAGUGCCUUCGGGAGCGGGGAGACAGGUGGUGCAUGGCUGUCGUCAGCUCGUGUCGUGAGAUGUUGGGUUAAG